rnacentral:rRNA from 1 species
UACGAAGGGGGCUAGCGUUGCUCGGAAUCACUGGGCGUAAAGCGCACGUAGGCGGAUUGUUAAGUCAGGGGUGAAAUCCUGGAGCUCAACUCCAGAACUGCCUUUGAUACUGGCGAUCUCGAGUCCGGGAGAGGUGAGUGGAACUGCGAGUGUAGAGGUGAAAUUCGUAGAUAUUCGCAAGAACACCAGUGGCGAAGGCGGCUCACUGGACCGGUAUUGACGCUGAGGUGCGAAAGCGUGGGGAGCAAACAGG